rnacentral:rRNA from 1 species
GAUGAACGCUAGCGGCAGGCUUAAUACAUGCAAGUCGAGGGGCAGCAGCUUUGUAGCAAUACAGGGGCUGGCGACCGGCAAACGGGUGCGGAACACGUACGCAACCUUCCUUUAACUGGGAGAUAGCCCACCGAAAGGUGGAUUAAUAUCCCAUAGUAUAUUUGAGUGGCAUCACUUAGAUAUUAAAGCUCCGGCGGUUAAAGAUGGGCGUGCGUCUGAUUAGGUAGUUGGCGGGGUAACGGCCCACCAAGCCCACGAUCAGUAGCUGAUGUGAGGGCAUGAUCAGCCACACGGGCACUGAGACACGGGCCCGACUCCUACGGGAGGCAGCAGUAAGGAAUAUUGGUCAAUGGACGCAAGUCUGAACCAGCCAUGCCGCGUGGAGGAUGAAGGCCCUCUGGGUUGUAAACUUCUUUUCUUUGGGACGAAACCCCUGUUUCUACGGGGACUGACGGUACCAGAGGAAUAAGCACCGGCUAACUCCGUGCCAGCCGCCGCAGUAAAAC